rnacentral:rRNA from 1 species
AGCCGCGGUAACACCGGCGGCCCGAGUGGUGAUCGUGAUUAUUGGGUCUAAAGGGUCCGUAGCCGGUUUGGUCAGUCCUCCGGGAAAUCUGAUAGCUCAACUAUUAGGCUUUCGGGGGAUACUGCCAGACUUGGAACCGGGAGAGGUAAGAGGUACUACAGGGGUAGGAGUGAAAUCUUGUAAUCCCUGUGGGACCACCUGUGGCGAAGGCGUCUUACCAGAACGGGUUCGACGGUGAGGGACGAAAGCUGGGGGCACGAACCGGAUUAGAUACCCGGGUAGUCCCAGCCGUAAACGAUGCUCGCUAGGUGUCAGGCAUGGCGCGACCGUGUCUGGCGCCGCAGGGAAGCCGUGAAGCGAGCCACCUGGGAAGUACGGCCGCAAGGCUGAAACUUAAAGGAAUUGGCGGGGGAGCACAACAACGGGUGGAAGCCUGCGGUUUAAUUGGACUCAACGCCGGACAACUCACCGGGGGCGACAGCAAUAUGUAGGCCAAGCUGAAGACUUUGCCUGAAUCGCUGAGAAGUGGUGCAUGG